rnacentral:rRNA from 1 species
UACGGGGGGGGCAAGCGUUGUUCGGAAUUACUGGGCGUAAAGGGCUCGUAGGUGGCCAACUAAGUCGGACGUGAAAUCCCUCGGCUUAACCGGGGAACUGCGUCCGAUACUGGAUGGCUUGAGUUUGGGAGAGGGAUGCGGAAUUCCAGGUGUAGCGGUGAAAUGCGUAGAUAUCAGGAGGAACACCAAUGGCGAAGGCAGCACUCUGGGACGUGACUGACGCUGAGACGCGAAAGCGUGGGGAGCAAACAGG